rnacentral:rRNA from 1 species
UACGAAGGUGGCAAGCGUUGUUCGGAUUUACUGGGCGUACAGGGAGCGUAGGCGGUGUGUCGCGUCGGCCGUGAAAACCUGGGGCUUAACUCUGGGCUUGCGGUCGAUACGGGCAUCACUGGAGUUCGGCAGGGGAGACUGGAAUUCCUGGUGUAGCGGUGAAAUGCGCAGAUAUCAGGAAGAACACCCGUGGCUAAGGCGGCUCUCUAGUACGGUACUGAUGCUGAGACGCGAAAGCGUGGGGAGCGAACAGG